UGUCCUGUAGCUCAGUGGUUAGAGAACUCGCCUCAAAAGCGAAAGACCUGGGUUCGAAUCCCGGCAGGGCAA
rnacentral:tRNA from 1 species